rnacentral:rRNA from 1 species
AUGGCCGCCACGCCGGACGAGUUCCUGCGGGCGGGGGACGCGGAGCCCUUCUCCCCGUCGCUCUUCCUCGACCUGCCGCCAACGCCGUCGCCCCCGCGCGCCCCCGCCUCAGACGACCUCGACUUCAUCUCGCGCAUGCUCAUGGAAGAGGACAUCGACGACAAGUUCUUCUACCAAUACCCCGACCACCCCGCCAUCCUCUCCGCGCAGCACCACUUCGCCCAGAUAAUCUCCGACUCCAACACCGACGACUCCGCCAACACCGCCGUCGCCAGCUCCACCUUCUCCUCCGACUCUGCCACCGCCAGAUCGGCCUCCUCCUGCUCCGACUCUGCCACAAACACCGGCAAAUCGACCUCCUCCUCCCACUCCGCCACCAACACCGCCCACUCCACCUCCUGUUCCUCCUCACCCGGCGCCUUCGGCCCCGCCAAUCCCACCUGGCCUUACGAGCGAAUCGAUCUCUCCCAGCCCCUCCACUCCCCCCCAUACAUCGGCCUGGGCUUCCCCGUCGACGGUGCCAACAACCUCCUCUUUUCCGGCGUCGGCACGCCCACCUCGGGAUAUUUCGGGCACACUCCGGCGCUCUCCAGGGGCAACAACGACCAUUUCGUCGCCCCCGCUGGCCAGAACGGCCGCAGCACGGGCAUUCAGAGCUUUGCGACCUUCGCGAAUAGUAGCGCCGCCAAGGACGCCAAGACCUUGUCGAACAAUGGCACGGAGAAGGCGGCCAAGCCGGCUACUCAGCCGGCUUGCCGAGGUGGCCCAGGCACCCCGGCUUCGGCCUUCUUCAAUGGCCAGACUAACGGUGACGUGGACAUGCUCAACAUGGCGUUUCGCAAGGGCAUGGAGGAGGCCAACAAGUUCUUGCCCACCAACAACACCCUCGACGCCAUUUCCAACAGGCCGGUACCGCGCGACUUCACCGGUGACCAAUUGAAGAAGGAGGAGGUGGAUAGACUCAGAAUGUUGAUGUUCAGUAAUGGCCGGGGGCGCAAGAACAGGCAUGGCGUGGAAGACUUGGAGGCGGAGGCUGGCAGGAGAUGCAAGCUGAUGAUGCCGGAACAGGAGGAAACUGGGGUAGGCGAGAUGGUCGAGGAAAUAAUGCUUCACGGCCACGACAUCAUCAUGAAGGGGAUAGAGGAUCUGCACAUAGCAAUGGGCACCGAGGCCGAGAAGAACCACAGGAAGGGCACCGGCAAGGCAGCGCGGGGGAGGCGGGGUGCAAGCGAGGUCGACCUCCGCACCAUGCUCAUCCACUGUGCGCAGGCGGUGGCCACGGGCGAUCACCGGGGAUCGAACGAGCUACUCAGGCAGAUUAAGCAACACUCAUCGCCUAAGGGGGAUGCCACACAGAGGCUGGCGUAUUGUUUCGCCGAGGGACUGGAAGCGCGCCUUGCAGGCACGGGCAGCCAUGUGUAUCGGUCGCUUGUGGCGAAGAGCACCUCGGUCGGAGAGUUCCUCAGGGCCUACAAGCUCUACAUGGCAGCCAGCAGUUUCAAGAAGUGGCCAGGUUUGCUACAGAUGCUAGCGGAAAGGGAAGGCGGGCCACCGGAGGUGAGGAUCACUGGCAUUGACGUCCCUCAGCCUGGGUUCCGCCCAGCCUUCCAGAUUGAGGAGACAGGCCGUCGGCUCAGCAAAUGUGCCCAAGAGUUUGGCGUGCCAUUCAAGUACCAUGGUAUACCCGCAAAGUUGGAGACAGUCCAUGCGGAGGACCUAAAAAUCGACCCAUAUGAGGUGCUCAUCGUCACCAGCCAGUAUGGUUUCAGCAACUUGAUGGAUGAAAGUGUUAUCAUGGACAGGCAGGACAUCCCGAGCCCUAGAGACAUGGUCCUUACCAACAUUCGCAAGAUGCGGCCUGAUGUGUUCAUUGACUGCGUUGUGAAUGGAACCUAUAGCGCGCCUUUCUUCGUGACACGAUUCCGGGAGGCGCUCUUCACCUAUUCGGCGCAAUUCGACAUGCUGGAUGCGACCAUCCCCCGUGACAAUGAUGACCGGCUGCUCAUCGAGCGGGAUAUCUUCGGCCCGUGUGCCCUGAAUGUCAUUGCCUGCGAGGGUGCAGAUCGGGUGGAUCGGCCCGAGACUUAUAAGCAAUGGCAGGUGCGGGGCCACCGGGCUGGGCUGAGGCAGGUGCCAUUGAGUCCGGCUGUUGUUAAGCUUGUGAAGGAUAAGGUUAAGAGCCUCUACCACAAGGACUUUCUCAUCGACGUGGAUAACCGUUGGUUGCUGCAGGGGUGGAAAGGGCGGGUACUCUAUGCCAUGUCGACAUGGGUAGCUGGUGACCAUGAUAACUCCAAAUUUUAG